UCUCCCUUUAUUGCUAAUGGAUUUCCACCUCUUUCUCCAUCCUCAACUUCUUCUUCUCCCAUCAGCACCACCACUACUACUAUUACACCUCUGCCUUAUAUAUAUGCCUUCUGUGAUAGGGAUGCAUCACAUGUGCACUGGAUUCUCUUAUAUUCAGACAAAUAUGAGAGAGAGAUGAUGUUGUCCGCAACUCUCAUUUCUUCUAGCAGACGAGCUGUCUGUCCAUUGAACAUGGUAGCUCAUCUGAUGCUGUUUCCCAUGGCAGGUUUGAGAAACUAAAUUGUUUAGUCUUCGAGCAUUAAUAGAAAUAUAAUUUAAUUAUAUUUCAGUCCCGCGCAUCCAUGAUGUAAAUCACCAGACGCAUGCUUGGUAUACCAUCAGAAAAUGUUGUGAAAUGUUGUGAUGGAAGCAUCAGUAAUCUCAGU